AUUCCCUACGCCCCGACUCUGUCCUGGACAGCGUGCCCACCAGCCAUGGCGGGGCCCCGGGGCCUCCUCCCACUCUGCCUCCUGGCCUUCUGCCUGGCAGGCUUCAGCUUCGUCAGGGGGCAGGUGCUGUUCAAAGGCUGUGAUGUGAAAACCACAUUUGUCACUCAUGUACCCUGCACCUCGUGCGCGGCCAUCAAGAAGCAGACGUGUCCCUCAGGCUGGCUGCGGGAGCUCCCGGAUCAGAUAACCCAGGACUGCCGGUGCGGGCCACCCCUGUCCUUGCCUGUGUCCAGGAGCAUCCUGUGGGGUGGCAGGGACUCGGGGAGCCUGACAGGCCCACAAAAUGAGGAGAAGCACUCACUUAUCCAUGCCCCUGUGGCCCCUCCUGGGUGGCGGAGAUAGGCGGGGAGGAAGGGGUAAAGGCGAGGCGCAGGAGGGGUUUAUGGGGCACCUGCUAUGUGCUAGGCCCUGUGCUCAGCUCUGGGCCAGGCAGAGCAGGGAGGUGGGUGGGAGCCCCGGAAGCCAAUGUGGGGAGGCUGGGUGGGGGCUGUGCAAGGGAGCCUUUUCCAUCACCCUGCCCACCCUCUG
rnacentral:sRNA from 1 species